UACGUAGGGUGCGAGCGUUAAUCGGAAUUACUGGGCGUAAAGCGUGCGCAGGCGGUUGUGCAAGGCCGAUGUGAAAUCCCCGGGCUUAACCUGGGAAUGGCAUUGGUGACUGCACGGCUAGAGUGUGUCAGAGGGGGGUAGAAUUCCACGUGUAGCAGUGAAAUGCGUAGAGAUGUGGAGGAAUACCGAUGGCGAAGGCAGCCCCCUGGGAUAACACUGACGCUCAUGCACGAAAGCGUGGGGAGCAAACAGG
rnacentral:rRNA from 1 species